rnacentral:rRNA from 1 species
AGCUUGCUACUGGACCUAGCGGCGGACGGGUGAGUAAUGCUUAGGAAUCUGCCUAUUAGUGGGGGACAACAUCUCGAAAGGGAUGCUAAUACCGCAUACGUCCUACGGGAGAAAGCAGGGGAUCUUCGGACCUUGCGCUAAUAGAUGAGCCUAAGUCGGAUUAGCUAGUUGGUGGGGUAAAGGCCUACCAAGGCGACGAUCUGUAGCGGGUCUGAGAGGAUGAUCCGCCACACUGGGACUGAGACACGGCCCAGACUCCUACGGGAGGCAGCAGUGGGGAAUAUUGGACAAUGGGGGGAACCCUGAUCCAGCCAUGCCGCGUGUGUGAAGAAGGCCUUAUGGUUGUAAAGCACUUUAAGCGAGGAGGAGGCUACUUUAGUUAAUACCUAGAGAUAGUGGACGUUACUCGCAGAAUAAGCACCGGCUAACUCUGUGCCAGCAGCCGCGGUAAUACAGAGGGUGCGAGCGUUAAUCGGAUUUACUGGGCGUAAAGCGUGCGUAGGCGGCUUAUUAAGUCGGAUGUGAAAUCCCCGAGCUUAACUUGGGAAUUGCAUUCGAUACUGGUGAGCUAGAGUAUGGGAGAGGAUGGUAGAAUUCCAGGUGUAGCGGUGAAAUGCGUAG